rnacentral:rRNA from 1 species
UUAAUUGAAGAGUUUGAUCAUGGCUCAGAUUGAACGCUGGCGGCAGGCCUAACACAUGCAAGUCGAGCGGCAGCACAGAGGAACUUGUUCCUUGGGUGGCGAGCGGCGGACGGGUGAGUAAUGCCUGGGAAAUUGCCCGGUAGAGGGGGAUAACCAUUGGAAACGAUGGCUAAUACC